rnacentral:tRNA from 1 species
GCCGAAGUGGUGGAACUGGUAGACACGCUGUCUUGAGGGGGCAGUGGGAAAUACCCGUGCGGGUUCGAGUCCCGCCUUCGGCACCA